CACGAAUCUUGACCAUCGGCUGGUAGCCAGUUCCAACAAGAAUACAUUCUCUCUUUGAGUUUAACAUUGAAAGAAAUAAUUAAUUUCUUGUUCUGUCUCAUGGUAUCAUAUUUUUGGUGACUCACGUCUCGAUCUCGUUGCUUGCCAUUCUUGCUAAUUCUUCAUCUUCCAUUUCCCCAUGACUGAUUCGACUAAAUAUAUGAGUUCUCCAAUCUUUCUUCUCUUCAACAUCUGUAAUUUGAUUUCAAUUCGUCUUUAUUCGACGAAUUAUGUACUAUGGAAAUUUCAACUCCAGUCGAUUCUGAUCGUGCACGAACUUUUUGGAUUCGUUGAUGGAUCCAAUCCACAAUUAGCGAAGUUUCAUGAUGCUGCUUCUUCGUCAUCCUCCUCCUCAGACGCUGCUGAUUCAUCUACACAAACUCAUAUUCAACCAAAUCCUCUUUAUGAUGAGUGGAUUGCUAAAGACCAUGCCCUAAUUUCUCUCAUAUAUGCGAACCUUUCACCGAUUGCUCUUGCUUAUAUUCUUGGCUGUAAAACCUCUAAUAGAUUUAGGAUACUCUGAAGAAUCAUUAUCUUUCUAGUUCACGUGUGAAUGUAUUGAAUCUCAACUGAAUUACAAUCGAUUACUUAGCGAUCUGGCGAAACGAUUGACCAAUCUUAUUCAGCCCUGUUGGUAAUGCUUUUUCAUCUCCUAAAGCACCUUCAGAUCAAUCUUAUUCUAAAAUUCAAUGUCAAAACUGUACACGAUUUGGUCAUGGUGCACUUGACUGCUACAAUCGAAUGAACUAUAGUUUUCAAGGCCACCAUCCUCUUACGCAACCUGCUGCUAUGGUAGCAACUCAGAACUACAAUGGCUUGCUGAUUUCGACUGUAACUCUCACAUUACUUCUGAUUUGUCUCAUUUAACUAAUGCUGCUGAUUUUGUUAAUCAUGAACAGAUUGUUGUAGGCAGUGGGUAGGCUUUUCAGAAUCAAACAGAAGUUCACACAUUCUUCCUACUCCCUCUUCUUCAUUAAAACUUCGUGAACUUCUUUGUGUUCCCUACACAUCCUGACAAAUCUUCGAGCAAGAUCCUUUUUCAAGGACCUAGUAUAAAUGGCCUAUAUCCAAUUCAACCUACUGCCUCUUCCUCUUUGUCACCUUCGAUUGUUGCUCAUGUUGGAACAAGAAUGUCUACUUUAGUCUGGUAUGAAUGGUUAGGUCACCCUAGUGAUUUUGUUCUUUCAACUAUUUUGAAAAGUAUGAAUCUGUCUUCUCAUUCUAUUCCCAAAUGUAUCUACUAUCCUUGUUUACAAUGCAAAUUACAUAAACUUCCCUUCUCUCGUUCUACCUCUUUAUACCCUUUGGAUUUAAUACACAUCGAUGUAUGGGGACCUUCCCCUGAAACUUCUAUUAAUGGUUUGUCUUUUGUUGA